UGGGGAAUCUUGGGCAAUGGGCGCAAGCCUGACCCAGCCAUGCCGCGUGUGUGAAGAAGGCCUUCGGGUUGUAAAGCACUUUCAGUGGUGAAGAAAAGCCUUGGGCUAAUACCUCAGGGUCUUGACGUUAUCCACAGAAGAAGCACCGGCUAACUCCGUGCCAGCAGCCGCGGUAAUACGGAGGGUGCGAACGUUAAUCGGAAUUACUGGGCGUAAAGCGCGCGUAGGCGGUUCGAUAAGUGGGAUGUGAAAGCCCUGGGCUCAACCUGGGAACUGCAUUGCAAACUGUCGGACUAGAGUAUGGUAGAGGGAGGUAGAAUUUCCUGUGUAGCGGUGAAAUGCGUAGAUAUAGGAAGGAAUACCAGUGGCGAAGGCGGCCUCCUGGACCAAUACUGACGCUGAGGCGCGAAAGCGUGGGGAGCAAACAGGAUUAGAUACCCCCGUAGUCC
rnacentral:rRNA from 1 species